GCAAUCAAUAAUUAAUUUUUAUGUCGAUAUUCCCACUAAACUAAGCCGUCGACCCAUCAACAUCUUCUAGACUCGUGCUAGUAUAUAAAAUGACAAUCAUGUAUCUGGUCUUUCGAAGAAAGCUCAUCGCCAGCCUCUAUCCGCCUGGUUUUUCACAUGGCAUCUUUUGCAGCCAUAUAUGACUGAAACCGUUUGAGGUUUAAUUACUUCUGUCGAAAACAAGACAUGGGUAUGCCUAAGCAGCCGCUGAUUCUGCUGUUCCUUAUAACGCUUGUUUCAUCGUCCCAGAAACCAACAGUUGUAGAAGCAAGGGCGCUUUCUUUAAUUCCUCAACAGAGAUCUUCAAACUUCUUCUCCACGCUCGGGCUUGUUUGCAAGUGCUGCGAUGGCGAAAAAGGCGAGUGCACAAGUACAUGGACAAAGUCUUGCUCUAAGCUCCAAUGUUUUCCCUGGAAACUAGACAAGUCUCUGUAAUUUUUGCUUUUUCUUGGUUGCUGUAGACUGUACAUACUACAUAGUUUUAGUAGUAAUUGGUAUAAAUUAAGUGGGUUAAUCAAACUUAUUUCGUUUUUAGUU